rnacentral:rRNA from 1 species
AUUGAACGCUGGCGGCAGGCUUAACACAUGCAAGUCGAGCGGAGUGAUGGUGCUUGCACUAUCACUUAGCGGCGGACGGGUGAGUAAUGCUUAGGAAUCUGCCUAUUAGUGGGGGACAACAUCUCGAAAGGGAUGCUAAUACCGCAUACGUCCUACGGGAGAAAGCAGGGGAUCACUUGUGACCUUGCGCUAAUAGAUGAGCCUAAGUCGGAUUAGCUAGUUGGGGGGGUAAAGGCCUACCAAGGCGAGGAUCUGUAGCGGGUCUGAGAGGAUGAUCCGCCACACUGGGACUGAGACACGGCCCAGACUCCUACGGGAGGCAGCAGUGGAGAAUAUUGGACAAUGGGGGGAACCCUGAUCCAGCCAUGCCGCGUGUGUGAAGAAGGCCUUAUGGUUGUAAAGCACUUUAAGCGAGGAGGAGGCUCUUUUGGUUAAUACCCAAGAUGAGUGGACGUUACUCGCAGAAUAAGCACCGGCUAACUCUGUGCCAGCCGCCGCAGUAA